rnacentral:rRNA from 1 species
GAUGAACGCUGGCGGCGUGCCUAAUACAUGCAAGUCGAGCGAACGGACGAGAAGCUUGCUUCUCUGAUGUUAGCGGCGGACGGGUGAGUAACACGUGGAUAACCUACCUAUAAGACUGGGAUAACUUCGGGAAACCGGAGCUAAUACCGGAUAAUAUUUUGAACCGCAUGGUUCAAAAGUGAAAGACGGUCUUGCUGUCACUUAUAGAUGGAUCCGCGCUGCAUUAGUUAGUUGGUAAGGUAACGGCUUACCAAGGCAACGAUGCAUAGCCGACCUGAGAGGGUGAUCGGCCACACUGGAACUGAGACACGGUCCAGACUCCUACGGGAGGCAGCAGUAGGGAAUCUUCCGCAAUGGGCGAAAGCCUGACGGAGCAACGCCGCGGGAGUGAUGAAGGUCUUCGGAUCGUAAAACUCUGUUAUUAGGGAAGAACAUAUGUGUAAGUAACUGUGCACAUCUUGACGGUACCUAAUCAGAAAGCCACGGCUAACUACGUG